AUAUUUUUAGAUAUAUUGGUUGAGGUUGAGAGUUUAUGUUCACUUAUUUUAGUUUAAAAGACAUCUUUGUCAGACACUUGUCUCAGAAAGCCAUAGCUAUUCAAAGGCGUCUAAAUUUUAUUACGCCUAAUACAGGUCUUUAAACGUUUUUAAAAAACGCUGAGAAGAGAAAUGUUUUUUUUUUAAUAUUGUUACUCUGUAGAAGUUACUGAUAUACCUGUUACUUCAAUGAAGUUUUCAUUCUAUUUAUAAAAUAUUUUAUUUUUUCUUCAAACCUAAUAUUUGUUUAACUUUCUACAGAGAAGGCAGAGACACCAACAAAAAGCUUUGAAGUUAAUGAUAGUGAAGAGGAGGCAGAUAAUUAUAAAAAUCUUUGCAGCUAAAGACAGUGAAGAAUCGAGUCGAAGUACUGUAGCCAGCUGGGCUACGCUCACUGGAUGAAUUGCAAAUUAAAACUGAUUUAAUACAAAGACGGCAU